CGGAACGGGUGAGUAAUGCGUGACCAACCUCGCCCCAUGCUCCAGAAUAGCUCUUGGAAACGGGUGGUAAUGCUGGAUGCUCCAACUUGACGCAUGUCUUGUUGGGAAAGUGUUUAGUGGCAUGGGAUGGGGUCGCGUCCUAUCAGCUUGUAGGCGGGGUAAUGGCCCACCUAGGCUUCGACGGGUAGCCGGCCUGAGAGGGCGGACGGCCACAUUGGGACUGAGAUACGGCCCAGACUCCUACGGGAGGCAGCAGUC
rnacentral:rRNA from 1 species